UCACACUGACUGGGGCGCAUCAGUGAUACUCACGGUGCAGUACAUAGUGACCUUUGGUCAAGGCAGCACAACCCACCCUUCACCUCCUUGGAGGUAAAAUUAGGAUCAGGCAGCCAAGGAAACAUAGGUCAAUAAACACAUGAUGGCAUGGCCUUGCCACGAGAUACGAAGACAACAGGCUGCUCAAGUGCUCCGAAUGUCUCAGCAGGAUCAACAACCACGAAGGAAAAAGCUGUCGAGGGAGGACCACUGAAAGCUUGAAAACUUCUUGUUUCGAAUAGAUUUGUGUCCCACUGUCUCACAACACUCUGGUAUGUGUGGGAUGUGCUUGGUUCAGCUUUCAGAAAGAUCUGAGAUCGUUGAUUGACGGGUGCAAAGUGGUCUCACAGGAUGCUGCCCAUCUGCUAGAGUAUGCCGGGUAAGUAGGAGCUCUAUGUUCUACCAUAAUGCAUGAUAUGAUGAUGGACAAUACAGUACAGGGUCGUGGCCAGGAAAGGUGGUGAUGGUAGUCCUUCUCAAAAUGAGAAAAUGGCCAAAUAGUUGUAAGAGAAUAUAUAUAAACUUCAUGAAAAGCUCAACUUUGUUCCUGCUUUAAGUAUGACUCUGCAAGUGCAAAAUGACAAAAAUGAAAUAUUGAAGAAUUUACAGUUCAAGAUAGUGAUUGAAUCUUGAACCCGGUACAAUUUGCACAAUAUCACAACUCAAAACUUCUGUUGAGGUGGUUAACAAGUCCUGCAGUAUUAUAAAAUGCUAUGAAAAUGAAAAAAUAAAACAAUGCGACCACUUUUUGGUCUGAUUGUGCAUAAUCUAGGUAUGCAUCACAACUGGCAUGGUUCCGGAUAGCCUAUUUAGCCACUGAGCAUGCAGAUUAAAAGACUUGUAAUAUAAUCUGCUUUCUGAGAAAUAUUCAGAAUAGUUGAGCGUGAAAAGGUACUAUUGGGUAAAGUAUGUCUCUACAACCUCCAGUAUUAUGCAAAACAUGCUUCUGCACACUUGACAAGAAGGUUGCUAUGCACAUGAAAGACUUUGUGACACCAGUCAAAACAAUCACUUGCAUGUUUAUAUUGUCCUAGAUGAACACCAGUCAAAACACCAGUCAAAACAAUCAAUAGCAACGUUUAUAUUGUAUUAGAUGAAGAUUGGAAUACCAGGCAUACCUUUACACCACUUCGUAGGUGCUAGAGAUGAGCAGAAAUUAGUUUUGGAUGUCCACACUCCCUCUGUCCUCUGCUGUCCCUCACUGCUUUAGGUUUAAAGACAGAUUAUCCUCUGAGCACAGAGGAGACCCUA
ensembl:lncRNA